GACGAACGCUGGCGGCGUGCUUAACACAUGCAAGUCGAACGAAGAGCGACGGAAGCUUGCUUCUCUCAAUCUUAGUGGCGAACGGGUGAGUAACGCGUAAUCAACCUGCCCUUCAGAGGGGGACAACAGUUGGAAACGACUGCUAAUACCGCAUACGAUCUAAUCUCGGCAUCGAGGAUGGAUGAAAGGUGGCCUCUACAUGUAAGCUAUCACUGAAGGAGGGGAUUGCGUCUGAUUAGCUAGUUGGAGGGGUAACGGCCCGCCAAGGCGAUGAUCAGUAGCCGGUCUGAGAGGAUGAACGGCCACAUUGGGACUGAGACACGGCCCAGACUCCUACGGGAGGCAGCAGGGGGGAAUCUUCCGCAAUGGACGAAAGUCUGACGGAGCAACGCCGCGGGAGGGAUGACGGCCUUCGGGUUGUAAAGCUCUGUUAAUCGGGACGAAAGGCCUUCUUGCGAAUAGUGAGAAGGAUUGACGGUACCGGAAUAGAAAGCCACGGCUAACUACGUG
rnacentral:rRNA from 1 species